AUUGAACGCUGGCGGCAGGCUUAACACAUGCAAGUCGAACGAGUGGCAGACGUGUGUGUAAUGUCUGGGACAUUGCCUGCUGGUGGGUGAUAACUACUGGAAACGGUAGCUAUUACCGAAUUCCAUCGGAUUUGCCUCGAUUGGCUUGGCUGUGUGUUGGGGUAACGGGUCACCUAGGCGACGAUCCCUAGCGGGUCUGAGAGGAGGACCAGCCACACGGGAACUGAGACAUGGUCCAGACUCCUACGGGAGGCAGCAGGGGGGAAUAGUGCACAAUGGGCGCAAGCCGGAUGCAGCCAUGCCGCGUGGAUGAAGAGGGCCUUCGGGUUGUAAAGUGCUUUCAGCGAGGAGGCGGUACUCGCAGAAGAAGCACCGGCUAACUCCGUGCCAGCAGCCGCGGUAAUUC
rnacentral:rRNA from 1 species